rnacentral:misc_RNA from 1 species
CCGAGUUUACAACUCCCAAACCCAAUGUGAACGUUACCAAACUGUUGCCUCGGCGGGGUCACGCCCCGGGUGCGUCGCAGCCCCGGAACCAGGCGCCCGCCGGAGGGACCAACCAAACUCUUUCUGUAGUCCCCUCGCGGACGUUAUUUCUUACAGCUCUGAGCAAAAAAUUCAAAUGAAUCA